rnacentral:tRNA from 1 species
AGAAAUUUAGGAUAAUAACCAAACCAAGAGCCUUCAAAGCCCUAAAUGAGAGUGAAAAUCUCUCAAUUUCUG